AUACGGAGGGUGCAAGCGUUAAUCGGAAUUACUGGGCGUAAAGCGCUCGUAGGCGGUUUGUUAAGUCGGAUGUGAAAGCCCCGGGCUCAACCUGGGAACUGCAUUCGAUACUGCAUGCCUAGAGUAUGGUAGAGGGAAGCGGAAUUCCGCAUGUAGUGGUGAAAUGCGUAGAUAUGCGGAGGAACACCAGUGGCGAAGGCGGCUUCCUGGACUAAUACUGACACUGAGGCACGAAAGCGUGGGGAGCAAACAGGAUUAGAAACCCCAGUAGUCC
rnacentral:rRNA from 1 species